GUUUGAUAUCGUCCACCGUUGUACCUACUUUCGUACUUUCGUGCCUAACCUACGUAUACACGCACUUUACCGUAUGUCUGUUAUUAUGUGUUUAUUUUGUAUACACGUUCGCAUCGACGAUUCUCUAUCUGGAGAAUGGAUUUACAGCAACGUACGUCAUCCUCUUUUUUCUUUUAUUUCAAUUUUUUCAACGAUUUCGAUCUUGACGUUGAUUCAUGUAGUUCAAGAAUGAGAUCUGUCAUUUUAUUGCAAUUAGUGAAUAUUAAUGUACAUUUAUACUUUUUUCGACAACAGUUUUUUGUUGGUGAGACAAUUUUAUUGCUGAGUGUAAAAAUCGUUUUUAGAUGAAAAAAUUAGAAAUUAUUUUUCAAUUAUAUAAAUACAGGUUAUGUGUUUCUGUAUCUUCCAAUUAAAUAUUUCUUUGAAUUGAAAAUUGAAUGAAUUAAUAUAACGAAACAUUCUAUCGAAUGUAAAAGUAUAACCUAAAAGUGAUUGUUUAAAUGAUUCGUGGAAAGUGAAGUGUCUUAAAAUUUCUUAUCUCCAAGAAGAUUCUUUCAAAAUUAAUUUUUGUGAAUCUCUUGCCUAAUUUUCGUUUUAUUUUUAUCUUAUUAUAUUAUAUAUUUAAUAUAAUGAAACAUGCUGAAUUUAUCGCCAUAUUAAUGUCUAUCUUCGAGAUGACAAGUAUAUAGCGAUAUGACCGAUAUAUCGAAAGUUGAUUUUUGACAAGAGAGAGAGAGAGUAAAUAUUUGAAUAUUCGAAUAGCAAGUAGAAAUAAGUCUUUCGUAGAUGUAUAUCUACUAUGGCACGCUUAUAGUUGUAUCUCGAUACAUCAUGUCACACUUUCAUUGACCUUUUCUAUGCAUUGUGUAUUUGGUAUUAAAGCUGCAAGGAAAAAAUUGAACACAUGUUUUUACGAUACUGUAAGAAAUAUAGACGUGAGUAUAUUAAUUCGAUCUUAACCUCAUUCGGUUUGAUUGCAUGAUAGGUUACUAUGAAAGUUUUAUUAAUAAACUAGAUAACCAUAAUAUUAUAUCGUAAAACAUGAUCCGUAGAUCCGAUAAAAAAUCGCAAAAAGAAAUUUGAAAUAUUUAUUUCAACUUAUAAACAGGUUUCUGUUUCAGUAAAAAUUUUAUGUUCAAGAAUUAUUAACCCUGAUUAAAACAAAAACCUAAGAAAUCGUUUCACGGUCUAGAGGUUACACGUCGAGGAAGGAAUUACCAGUAAAGACCCGAAGGAAAGGAGUGAAAGAUAUAUCAGAAUAGGAUUCACGUUUACAAAAAAAUUAUCACUAAAUGAAAGUAAAGAAAAGAAACUAAGCCUAUGUCAAGAUAGGAAGAAUCAUUCACAGGUAUAAUGAUAUUGUGAAACAACCGACAUAGUUAGACCAGAUGCAACUACAAAUGUAUCACCAUGUGCAUUAUGACAAUGCUUUCCUAUCGAUGUUUACUCGACGAUAACGUUGCUGGGUCUUACAAAUGCGAUUCUACACCAUGGCGUACGUGACCGAUAUGUCGAAGGCGUGCCGUCUGGGACCACAGAAGCUGCAACGGCAUAUACUAAGAAGACGUACACUGAGAACCACAGUUCCGGAAUUUAUCAGGUAAGAUAGUACCCACUUCCAGAAGACUCGAUGCAUGUUAUGUGGAUGAGAAUACAAACUCUAGGGAGUAUACGCGUAUGCUCCUAACUGGUGCGCUUAAAAGUUUUACGUUCUUUUUACAAUGAGUUUUAGCACGAAAUGUAAAUUCAUUUACUUUUUUCUUAAAGUUCCACUCGAGAUAGAUAGCAAUUUUAAAGUUUCGUAGUAUGUACAUCGAGAAAUUUUCGGUCGAGAUCUUAUUUCGAAUUCCAUUAAUUUUUUUUUUUUUUUUCCAUCUUGAAAUCUAAUUCUUGUCUCGAGAAAUCGUUCGAUGUUCAACUAUUAAACGAUCAAUAGAAAUUAUCGAACAUAAUUCGGUCAGACAAACCGGUAAACCGUUACAAACCGUUAUGUACAAACUUUUUAUGUUUUUGUUUCUUUGUCGGGACAGAAAAUUAGGUUUAUCGUACAGAUGAAUUAUAACAAACGGUGAUCAUGCUAACGUUAACAUUAUCGUUAAAGUAGUUAUGGAUAGUAAGAUCUUUAAAGCGAAGUUCUAGUUUGCGGUCAAGCAAUCGCCAUACCAGACCACCGUUUCUGUAUCACGAUAGAGGAACACUUCUAUGGAUUCAGCUAAUCGAGUUGGCAACUAUUGUGUAAGCACACACGUACACAUAAUCAUGUUACCGGCAGGCAGUCGAACCCGUUGUCGUUGUCCAAAACGACUAUAUGACUAGUAAAAUGCUAUAGCACUUUUAUUACACGUACAUGCUAUGACGUAAGUAUGAUGUAUACGAGAUUCGUGUAAGUAUAAUAUGAUAAACACUCUGCAACAAAUAUUUGCCUCGAGCCUAUAAUUUUAAAACAAUAUACGAUACAAAAAUUUUUUUUAUCGUUACAUUAUUUUUAGGUUAAAAUUGAAUCAUGCAGUGAAAAUGCUAAUGGGAAAAACGCUUGAUUAGAGACCUAAAUUACAUCACUAUAAUAAUCACUAUACCGAUAUUCAUUCGUCAUGAUGAAUACGAUGAAUCAAGAUUUGGACUCACUAAUUUUCUCUUUGAUUAAUCACCGCUAGCUACCGGUCGCAAAAAUAUGGACUAAGAAACGAGCAUGGAAUAUCUCGUUUCAGGUACGGCGGAUGGAGGGAAAACGAGGAAAAAAGGAUCGGCCGUCGAAUCAUCUUCUCCAGGAGGAAUGACGCGCUCCUAUCGCGAAGAUUACAUCUCUGUCGGUGCAUCUGUCACGUGCACGUUGCUCGCAUUUGUUCGAUCGAGGAAGGCCGUUCAAUCGAACAGCGUGUCGAAGGAAUCGACAAAUCCGUCUUCGAGGCUCUUGGAGGAUAAUCGUAAAGUAAACGAAAUACAUGGUUAUUCGACGAACGUUUCUUCGACGGUGAGUGGAAAGAGGACGGGAUACGCAGUUUUUCACCGCGAGAGAUUAAUACGUAUUCUUCGAUUUUUCCUUCUCUUUUCGAAAAGAUAAAUUUCCCAGAAAAUUGCACCGCUUCCAUCGGUCGAGAAUUAGAGAAGAAAUGGCGCGACGCUUUCAGAAAUUGAGUUUUCUCCCGCCGAAAAAAAUCGGAACUAAUGAAACGCGGUGGGAUCGAUGCGUCUUGGGUGGAAACUGGAAUCGAACAGGGGCGUUGCUUGAGCUGGAAGAGGUCGGAUAUGCUUGCAAACACGCGCAACCCUGUGUACAGGGUAGGUGCAUGUGCAUUAGGGUGAUCGAUGAUACUCGACGUCGAGCGACUGGCCCGUUGGUCAAGUAGAUGCAUCAGCUGCAAUUGCGCCCGCGAUUUCAAUGAACGUUCGACUCGAAAAUCGCGUAUAUACAUAUACAUAUAUAUAUAUAGAUAUAGAUAUGAAACUAGAUCGGCGGAUGGUCAGAGCGUCGCUCGUUUGCGUUUUAUUUCUAUUUUCUAUACUCUCCCUCUUUUUUCCACCGUCAUUGUUCACGAGUCGCUCGCUAUGACGGAUUAAACGGCACGAAAUGCCCCCGGCAUUUUCGCGAAUAGGAAUUUGCCAAAUCCUUUCGUCAGAGGCGCGCGUUGAAAUUUAUAACUCUCGUAACGCUAUCCCUAUAGAACUUGGAACGUCGUAAUGGGGGAUACGUCUGGUUUCAUUCCCGCAUUCAUCCCGAGUUCCUCUGGCCUCUCUGCGAAUUUGCAAUGGCCGGCGAAAAAUAUAUAUUUGAACGUGGCAAACGUUACGUGACGAAACUUACUUGCCACGUUUCUACGUGGCCGACGCGUGCAAAUAGGAGGUUCGGCCCACGAUGCCUCUCGUUGAAUUACGUUUAUCGUUUAAUUGUCGCGCGGAACGACGAUUCGCCACGCGGUUUAUCGCGCGCGUGAUAACAUUUGCUUUUGUGCCGUGUUAAGUAAUUUAAUCGGUACUGGCGAGGACAGUCGUUCCAUUUCGGGAACGAUAAUGCCUCGUUAUUAACGAGACGCGUUACGCGCGAGGAUUGUCGAAAGAAAUUCGCCGACAUUUGUCCGAUCGUUGAGAUUUGUCACGAGAUAAACGUCAUUUCUUCUCAACCAACCGCUUCCUCCAAGAUCGUCGAGUAUUGGAGUAUCAUUUUUUGUGAAAACUUUCACGAUCUUGCAGCGAUUUCUUCUUGGACAAACGUGAUGGAUGCACGGAUCGACACGUUCUGUCCGUCGGGAUAAGCUCUAUGGCGAGUACUAUCGCGUAAAUAUUGCCAGGACAAAUGGAUAUGUAGGUCACGAGCCCGUCAUCAGUCAGGGGUUGGGCCGCGUCAUUAAUACAACGGAAUGCGCAAACUGGACAAACCGGGUAAUUAAUAUUAACGGGACGAGUGUAAUUACUAUUAAAUAACGUAUAAUUGACAUGGUAUUGUAACGUAUCCCCUGUUGGCUCCUUGCGAAAAUGUUUCUUUAGUUCGUCAAAGUACCGUUCAAUUUUUUCGAAAUUCUUGAAUAGCGAAAUAAAAAGAAAAAUUAUUUCCUUCUCUGGUUUAAUAUAUUACAUAUUUAUACACAUUUUGCGGAGGAUAAUAAUAACAACCGUUAGAAUUAUUAACGGGUAAAAUUAGGAUGGAUCGAGAAAUGUAUGAAUUUUAAUUUUAUCUGGUCGUAUUCGAAAUUUCCGCUUAGAAUCGUUUAUGCGUGCCGUAAGGUGAAACGAUAAAAGUUCGAAAUGGCGCGACAGGAGGAUGAAAUCGUGUGAAAAAAUUGUAUCCAAGUUUUUACGAGACUCGAAUUCCUCGACUACAUUAAGAACGCUCGUUGCAAUUUGGAAAAAUGCAAAAGUUCGUGGUAAUGGGCUAUUCGAAAUAUCUGUAAAACAGUUGUACGAGUGUGUAAAAACGCUUGAUUCGCUUUAUUCGAUUCAUCAGUGUCAAAUUCUUGUCAACGGUUUCUUUUUCUUUUUUUUUUUUUUUUGCAAUUAAAACAAGUUGUCCUUGCGUUUCACGUUUAAUGUUCGAGUUUAACGGAGGGGAAGUGAGAUCUGUCAACAUUGUCCGGAGAAUAGAUCCUGAGAAUAAAUCGUGGAAAAGAAUAA